UUUGGUUAAGUUAGAAAGGGCGCACGGUGGAUGCCUUGACACUAGGAGUCGAUGAAGGACGGGACUAACGCCGAUAUGCUUCGGGGAGCUGUAAGUAAGCUUUGAUCCGAAGAUUUCCGAAUGGGGAAACCCACUAUACGUAAUGGUAUGGUAUCCUUACCUGAAUACAUAGGGUAUGGAAGACAGACCCAGGGAACUGAAACAUCUAAGUACCUGGAGGAAGAGAAAGCAAAUGCGAUUUCCUGAGUAGCGGCGAGCGAAACGGAAUCUAGCCCAAACCAAGAGGCUUGCCUCUUGGGGUUGUAGGACAUUCUAUACGGAGUUACAAAGGAACGAGGUAGACGAAGCGACCUGGAAAGGUCCGUCGUAGAGGGUAACAACCCCGUAGUCGAAACUUCGUUCUCUCUUGAAUGUAUCCUGAGUACGGCGGAACACGUGAAAUUCCGUCGGAAUCUGGGAGGACCAUCUCCCAAGGCUAAAUACUCCCUAGUGAUCGAUAGUGAACCAGUACCGUGAGGGAAAGGUGAAAAGCACCCCGGAAGGGGAGUGAAAGAGAUCCUGAAACCGUGUGCCUACAAAUAGUCAGAGCCCGUUAAUGGGUGAUGGCGUGCCUUUUGUAGAAUGAACCGGCGAGUUACGAUCCCGUGCGAGGUUAAGUUGAAGAGACGGAGCCGCAGCGAAAGCGAGUCUGAAUAGGGCGUUUAGUACGUGGUCGUAGACCCGAAACCAGGUGAUCUACCCAUGUCCAGGGUGAAGUUCAGGUAACACUGAAUGGAGGCCCGAACCCACGCACGUUGAAAAGUGCGGGGAUGAGGUGUGGGUAGCGGAGAAAUUCCAAUCGAACCUGGAGAUAGCUGGUUCUCCCCGAAAUAGCUUUAGGGCUAGCCUUAAGUGUAAGAGUCUUGGAGGUAGAGCACUGAUUGAACUAGGGGUCCUCAUCGGAUUACCGAAUUCAGUCAAACUCCGAAUGCCAAUGACUUAUCCUUAGGAGUCAGACUGCGAGUGAUAAGAUCCGUAGUCAAGAGGGAAACAGCCCAGAUCGCCAGCUAAGGUCCCAAAGUGUGUAUUAAGUGGAAAAGGAUGUGGAGUUGCUUAGACAACUAGGAUGUUGGCUUAGAAGCAGCCACCAUUUAAAGAGUGCGUAAUAGCUCACUAGUCGAGUGACUCUGCGCCGAAAAUGUACCGGGGCUAAAUACACCACCGAAGCUGCGAAUUGAUACCAAUGGUAUCAGUGGUAGGGGAGCGUUCUAAGGACAGUGAAGUCAGACCGUAAGGACUGGUGGAGUGCUUAGAAGUGAGAAUGCCGGUAUGAGUAGCGAAAGACGGGUGAGAAUCCCGUCCACCGAAUGCCUAAGGUUUCCUGAGGAAGGCUCGUCCGCUCAGGGUUAGUCAGGACCUAAGCCGAGGCCGACAGGCGUAGGCGAUGGACAACAGGUUGAUAUUCCUGUACCACCUCUUUAUCGUUUGAGCAAUGGAGGGACGCAGAAGGAUAGAAGAAGCGUGCGAUUGGUUGUGCACGUCCAAGCAGUUAGGCUGAUAAGUAGGCAAAUCCGCUUAUCGUGAAGGCUGAGCUGUGAUGGGGAAGCUCCUUAUGGAGCGAAGUCUUUGAUUCCCCGCUGCCAAGAAAAGCUUCUAGCGAGAUAAAAGGUGCCUGUACCGCAAACCGACACAGGUAGGCGAGGAGAGAAUCCUAAGGUGUGCGAGAGAACUCUGGUUAAGGAACUCGGCAAAAUGACCCCGUAACUUCGGGAGAAGGGGUGCUUUCUUAACGGAAAGCCGCAGUGAAUAGGCCCAAGCGACUGUUUAGCAAAAACACAGGUCUCUGCGAAGCCGUAAGGCGAAGUAUAGGGGCUGACACCUGCCCGGUGCUGGAAGGUUAAGGAGAGGGGUUAGCGUAAGCGAAGCUCUGAACUGAAGCCCCAGUAAACGGCGGCCGUAACUAUAACGGUCCUAAGGUAGCGAAAUUCCUUGUCGGGUAAGUUCCGACCCGCACGAAAGGUGUAACGAUUUGGGCACUGUCUCAACCAGAGACUCGGUGAAAUUAUAGUACCUGUGAAGAUGCAGGUUACCCGCGACAGGACGGAAAGACCCCGUGGAGCUUUACUGUAGCCUGAUAUUGAAUUUUGGUACAGUUUGUACAGGAUAGGCGGGAGCCAUUGAAACCGGAGCGCUAGCUUCGGUGGAGGCGCUGGUGGGAUACCGCCCUGACUGUAUUGAAAUUCUAACCUACGGGUCUUAUCGACCCGGGAGACAGUGUCAGGUGGGCAGUUUGACUGGGGCGGUCGCCUCCUAAAGUGUAACGGAGGCGCCCAAAGGUUCCCUCAGAAUGGUUGGAAAUCAUUCGUAGAGUGCAAAGGCAUAAGGGAGCUUGACUGCGAGACCUACAAGUCGAGCAGGGACGAAAGUCGGGCUUAGUGAUCCGGUGGUUCCGCAUGGAAGGGCCAUCGCUCAACGGAUAAAAGCUACCCCGGGGAUAACAGGCUUAUCUCCCCCAAGAGUCCACAUCGACGGGGAGGUUUGGCACCUCGAUGUCGGCUCAUCGCAUCCUGGGGCUGUAGUCGGUCCCAAGGGUUGGGCUGUUCGCCCAUUAAAGCGGUACGCGAGCUGGGUUCAGAACGUCGUGAGACAGUUCGGUCCCUAUCCGUCGUGGGCGUAGGAAAUUUGAGAGGAGCUGUCCUUAGUACGAGAGGACCGGGAUGGACGCACCGCUGGUGUACCAGUUGUUCUGCCAAGGGCAUAGCUGGGUAGCUAUGUGCGGAAGGGAUAAGUGCUGAAAGCAUCUAAGCAUGAAGCCCCCCUCAAGAUGAGAUUUCCCAUAGCGUAAGCUAGUAAGAUCCCUGAAAGAUGAUCAGGUUGAUAGGUUCGAGGUGGAAGCAUGGUGACAUGUGGAGCUGACGAAUACUAAUAGAUCGAGGACUUAACCAUAUAA
rnacentral:rRNA from 1 species